CUCAGGAUAAUCUAGCGGUUAGGAUGUUUGACUCCCAGCCAAAAAGGUCUGGGUUCGAUCCCUGUAAGCAUCCUUGAGA